UUUAUGGAGAGUUUGAUCCUGGCUCAGGAUGAACGCUGGCGGCGUGCCUAAUACAUGCAAGUCGAGCGAACAGACGAGGAGCUUGCUCCUCUGACGUUAGCGGCGGACGGGUGAGUAACACGUGGAUAACCUACCUAUA
rnacentral:rRNA from 1 species